rnacentral:rRNA from 1 species
GACGAACGCUGGCGGCGUGCUUAACACAUGCAAGUCGAGCGGUAAGGCCCUUUCGGGGGUACACGAGCGGCGAACGGGUGAGUAACACGUGGGUGACCUGCCCUCAGCUCUGGGAUAAGCCUGGGAAACCGGGUCUAAUACUGGAUAUGACUCCAUGACGCAUGUUGUGGGGUGGAAAGCCUUGUGCGGCUGAGGAUGGGCUCGCGGCCUAUCAGCUUGUUGGUGGGGGUGAUGGCCUACCAAGGCGACGACGGGUAGCCGGCCUGAGAGGGCGACCGGCCACACUGGGACUGAGACACGGCCCAGACUCCUACGGGAGGCAGCAGUGGGGAAUCUUGCGCAAUGGGCGAAAGCCUGACGCAGCGACGCCGCGUGAGGGAUGACGGCCUCG